rnacentral:sRNA from 1 species
UUUUUGACGAUUACAUUCACC